GAGCCGAUACGGAUUAGAUACCCGGGUAGUCCACGCCGUAACGUUGGGCACUAGGUGUCGGGGGUAUCGACCCCUCCGGUGCCGCAGCUAACGCAUUAAGUGCCCUGCCUGGGGAGUACGGCCGCAAGGCUAAAACUCAAAGGAAUUGGCGGGGGCCCGCACAAGCAGCGGAGCGUGUGGUUUAAUUCGAUGCAACGCGAAGAACCUCACCUAGGCUUGACAUGCUGGUAGUAGAACCCCGAAAGGGGAACCACUCGUAAAGUCGAGAGCCAGCACAGAUGCUGCAUGGCUGUCGUCAGCUCGUGCCGUGAGGUGUUGGGUUAAGUCCCGCAACGAGCGCAACCCUCGCCGUUAGUUACCAUGUCUAACGGGACCGCCGGUUUCAAACCGGAGGAAGGUGGGGAUGACGUCAAGUCAGCACGGCUCUUACGCCUAGGGCUACACACACGCUACAAUGGCCGGUACAACGGGAUGCCAAGGGGCGACCCGGAGCCAAUCCUAUCAAAGCCGGUCUCAGUUGGGAUUGCAGGCUGCAACUCGCCUGCAUGAACGCGGAGUUGCUAGUAACCGCAGGUCAGCACACUGCGGUGAAUACGUUCCCGGGCCUUGUACACACCGCCCGUCACGUCAUGAAAGUUGGAAACGCCUGAAGUCGGUGAGCCAACCCGCAAGGGAGGCAGCUGCCGAGGGCGGAGCCAGCGAUUGGGACGAAGUCGUAACAAGGUAACA
rnacentral:rRNA from 1 species